rnacentral:lncRNA from 1 species
AAAACUAGGCAUAUGCUCUUGAUUUCUAUCGUUGGCAAUUUGUGGGCCCUGGAUAAGUGUUUGCUAUUUGCAUGUGUCUGGGGAAGCACCCUAGGAUACUAAGGGAUGUAGAAGAACUCAUAGAAGCAACUAUGAAUCCAGUGUCUUUCAGAUUUCCAAGUCUCUUCUGGUGUGCUGAGGUAUAUUUCAAUGUCUUCUCUCCGCUGAGGAUGACAGGGAGGACUCACGUAGCCACAUUGGCAAUGUUCUUUCAGAAGCACUAUUUGGGAACCUUGGAGCCUCUGGAAGAUGAACACCAUACCAUCCACAAUGUCAGGAUGAAAGUAGCUUCACUUCCCUGGGGUUCACGCCGUGGACAGUGCAACCUUCAGAUGCAAGGCUGAGCAUGAUUCAUUUAAAUCCCACCUGGAACUAUUCAAACAGCAAAGGACAACCCAGACCCCUGAGAGGAGAAGGUGAUCAAGCAGCACCGGUGACAGCAUUCAGCUGAUAAAUGGUUGGUAUUCCUGAGAGAGGAGAAGAGAAAGUAAGCAAACUGGAAAACAUAUUUGAGGAUAUAAUUUAGGAAAAUUUCCUUCAUCUUGCUGGAGAGGUCAACAUACAGAUAAAAAAAAAAAUCCAGAGAACUUCUACAAGAUGCUAUACAAGAUGACCAUUCCCAACACAAUAGUCAUCAGACUAUCCAAGGUCGACUUGAAUGAAAAAAUCCUAAAGGUAGCUAGGAAUACAUCUAACCAGUGAAGUGAAAGGGCUCUGUAAGGAGAAGUACAAAACACUGCUGAAAGAAAUCAUAGACAAUGCAAACAAAUGGAAAAGCAUUCCAUGCUCAUGGAUUGGAAGAAUCAAUAUCAUUAAAAUGUCCAUACUGCCUACAGAAAUCUACAGAUUCAAUGCUAUUCUUAUUAAAUUAUCAACAUCAUUUUCCACGGAAUUAGAAAAAACUAUUUUAACAUUCAUAUGGAACUGAAAAAAGAGCCUGAAUAGCCAAAGCAAUCUUAAGCAAAAAGAACAAAGCCAGAGGCAUCACAUUACCUGACUUCCAACUACACUACAAGCCUACAGUAACCAAAACAGCAUGGUACCAUUUCAAAAAUAGAUACAUAGACCAAUGGAACAGAAUAGCGACUACUGAAAUAAAGCCACACACCUGCAAUCAACUGAUCUUCAAUAAAGUCAACAAAAAUAAACAAUAGGGGAAAGACUCUAUUCAAUAAAUGGUGCUGGGAAAACUGGCUAGCCAUAUGCAGAAGAAUGAAGAUGGACUCCUAUCUCUGACGAUAUACAAAAAUUAACUCAAGAUGGAUUAAAGACUUAAAUGUAAGACCUCAAACUAUAAAAAUCCUGGAACAAAACUUGGGAAAUACUCUUCUAGACAUUGGCCUAGGCAAAAAAUUUAUGACCAAGUCCUCAAAAGCAGAUGUAACCAAAACAAAAAUUGACAAUUGGGACCUGAUUAGACUAGAGAGCUUCUAUGCAGCAAAAGAAAUGAUCAACAGAGUAAACAGACAACCUACAGAAUGGGAGAAAAUAUUUGCAAACUCUGCAUCUGACAAAAGACUCAUAUCCAAAAGCUGUAAGGAACUUAAAUAAAUAAACUAGAAUAAAACAAAUAACCCCAUUAAAAAGUGGGCAAGGAUAUGAACAGACAUAUCUCAAAAGAAGACAUACAAGUAGCCAACACACACAUGUGAAAAAAUGCUCAACAUUCUAAUCACUAGAGAGAUGCAUAUUGAGACCACCAUGAGAUACCAUCUCACACCACUCAGAAUGGCUAUUAUUAAAAAGUCAAAAAAUAAUAGUUGUUGGUGAGGUUGCAGAGAAAAGGGAAUGCCUAUACACUGUUGGUGGGAAUGCAAAUUAGUUCAGCACCUAUGAAAAGCAGAUUGGAGACUUCUCAAAGAACUAAAAAUAGAAUUACCAUUGGACCCAGCAAUCCUAUUACUUGGUAAAUACCCAAAGGAAAAUAAAUCAUUCUACCAAAAAGACACCUGUACUUUUAUGUUUAUCACAGCACUAUUCACAAUAGUAAAGACACAGAAUCAACCCAGGCACCCAUCAAUGGUAGAUUCAAUAAAUAAAAUGUACAUGUAAUCGUGGAAUACUACACAGCUCUAAAAUAGAAUGAAAUAUAUCCUUUGCAACAACAUGAUGCAGCUGGAGGCCUUUAUCCUAUGUGAAUUAAUGCAGAAAUAGUAAACCAAGCACUGCAUGUUCUCACUUAUAAGUGUGAGCUAAACAUUGGGUAUACACGGACACAAAGAUAGAAACAAUAGACACUGGGGAUUUCAAAAGUCGGGAGGUAGGGGGCCAGAGGUUGAAAAACUGCCCACUGGGAACUAUGUUGACUAUUUGGGCAAUGGGAUCAUUAAAAGUCCAAACCUCAGCAUCAUGCAAUAUGCCUUUGUAACAAACCUGUAUGUAUACCUCCUGCAUCUAAAAUAGGUAAAUAAAAAUAAAUAAAAAUUUAAAAAUAAAAUGUGAUGACUAAAAAUAAAAUAAAGGAUUUACUCUGUUUUUAGAACUAUAGUUCAUCCCUUACUGUUGAGAAAAACCUCUUUUUUACCAAAACAUCAGCAACAACCAAA